rnacentral:rRNA from 1 species
CCCAACUAUCCUUCUUAAUCAUUACGGUGAUGCUAGAAACCAACAAAAAAGAACCAUGCCGUCUUAUUUCAUUAUUCCACACUAAUAUAUUCAAGCACUAGCCUGCUUUAAGCCCUCUAAUUUUUUCAAGGUAAUAGCUCUGCUUCCCCAACCCACCAAAUUAAUGGCAUGAAGGUUAUUCAGAAGGGGGGAAUUCAUCGCAGACCCGUGCGGACAGUGAAACACGACCAACGGACAAACCCCGAAAUUCA